rnacentral:rRNA from 1 species
GAUGAACGCUGGCGGCGUGCCUAAUACAUGCAAGUCGAGCGAACAGACGAGGAGCUUGCUCCUCUGACGUUAGCGGCGGACGGGUGAGUAACACGUGGAUAACCUACCUAUAAGACUGGGAUAACUUCGGGAAACCGGAGCUAAUACCGGAUAAUAUAUUGAACCGCAUGGUUCAAUAGUGAAAGACGGUUUUGCUGUCACUUAUAGAUGGAUCCGCGCCGCAUUAGCUAGUUGGUAAGGUAACGGCUUACCAAGGCAACGAUGCGUAGCCGACCUGGGAGGGUGAUCGGGCACACUGGAACUGAGACACGGUCAAGACUCCUACGGGAGGCAGCAGUAGGGACUCUUCCGCAAUGGGCGAAAGCCUGACGGAGCAACGCCGCGUGAGUGAUGAAGGUCUGCGGAGCGUAAGACUCUGUUAUUAGGGAAGAACAAAUGUGUAAGUAACUAUGCACGUCUUGACGGUACCUAAUCAGAAGGCCACGGCUAACUCCGUG